rnacentral:rRNA from 1 species
GACGAACGCUGGCGGCGUGCUUAACACAUGCAAGUCGAACGGAAAGGCCCUGCUUGCAGGGUACUCGAGUGGCGAACGGGUGAGUAACACGUGGGUGUUCUGCCCUGCACUUCGGGAUAAGCCUGGGAAACUGGGUCUAUUACCGGAUAGGAGCCAUUUUUAGUGUGAUGGUUGGAAAGUUUUUUCGGUGUAGGAUGAGCUCGCGGCCUAUCAGCUUGUUGGUGGGGUAAUGGCCUACCAAGGCGGCGACGGGUAGCCGGCCUGAGGGGGUGGACGGCCACAUUGGGACUGAGAUACGGCCCAGACUCCUACGGGAGGCAGCAGUGGGGAAUAUUGCACAAUGGGCGCAAGCCUGAUGCAGCGACGCCGCGUGGGGGAUGACGGCCUUCGGGUUGUAAACUCCUUUCGCUAGGGACGAAGCUUUUUGUGACGGUACCUAGAUAAGAAGCACCGGCUAACUACGUG